CUUCCCUGUCUGGAGACAAAAAAGCUUUGUUUGAGCAAGUCAGGUUUGCCUGGAAAAAGACAGAGGGAGGGAUGGAAACAAAAGGUCCUGGGUGUUUAGGUUCAGAGCAUGGUGAGGAUCUCAGAUUGGCCUUAGCGCUCGUGGAUGCUGCAUCUUUUUCUGUCAUCAGGGUGUGGAUCUAAAGAGCCUGAAACUCUGAAUUUCAAACUGGAAAGGGAAAAGAUGGAGCAGUAUCUGGUGUUUGGAAGAAUUUAAAGAGGAGUUCAAACAGUGAGGCUCAGGUUAAUAAUAUGAAUACCUUAAGAAACAACAAAAAGCCAUGGAUGCUUUAUGAGACAGAAGUACCACACAGCAGGAUUUGUGAUCCAGCCUUUGGAGUAAGUGCUGCAGAGAAACUGACCCCCGAGCACCUGCAGCUACUGAGAAAUGCAUUUAACCGGUCAGAAGAUGAAGCACAGAUACAUGAAAACAUGUCGAAAGGAAGGAGCGGAAGGAACAGAGGAGGAAAGGAAGAACAUGGAAUGAAGUUUGAAGAGUUUCGGGAAGUUCUUAGGUCUGUGGUUGGUCCAGAUGUUGAGGACACAUGGGUUGAGAGGUUCUUCAGUGAGGUAGAUAUCAGCUGUACCGGGCAGGUGAAGUGGCAGCAGCUUUGUUCCUACCUGCUUCUGGAGUACACUGAGAGAGAGCGCGCCUCCAUUCCCAGAGCUGCACCUCUGGACUCCCAGCCGCAGAUCAGACACUGCUCUCAUAACAAGCGGGAGCCAACAGUACGUGUGGUUGCUGUCUCCCACCCUCCUCCGCUCCGUUAUGUUAGUGUCAGUAAGGGAGGUCAGAUCACUGUCUGGAACAGCAGCCUACACAUCCUUAAAACUCUAGGGCUUGCUGGAGACCCAACAGAGCAAAUUGCCAACACGAGGAGAUUUAGAGGUUGGACCACUGAUGCUGUUUACAUGGGAAACGUCCACAAGGUUGCCAUAGCAUCUGACUGUAGGGACUUGCACUUUGUGAAUGUCGCCAUGGGCAGUGUAUUUGAGGAUGUCCACCUGUUUGGGUUCCGUAGUGUCCCUAGUGCACUUUGUUACUGGCAUGAUGUUCAGUUUCCAGAGCGGCCCUCUCUGCUGCUACUGGGGGAUGAAAAAGGAGGAGUUCACCUCAUGUGGUUCCUGAAUCCAUCUAAAGGACUUUUCAAGAAUCCAUCCAAGGCAGAGAAUGGCCCACAGAGGAUAUAUUUCCCAGACAUCGGUGAACACAGCGACGUGGUGUCCUACCGUCACAUUCCUAACAUCCACCAGGAACCAAUCAACAGAGUGAUGUUUGAGCCCAGCGCCAACGUCAUCAUGACAUCAUCAGAAAGUGACACGACCUCUGUGGUUUUUAUUAAUGUGACCCUAAAGCAGGAGCCCUAUGUUUGGUCAUUUAAGCAGGGGGCUAAAUGUUUUGACUACAAUGGCUCUUUGCAGUUGAUGGUCACCGGAGGUUGUGACCGAGCAGUCAGACUGUGGACUCGCUUUGUGACCACCCGUCCCAUAGCCACGCUGCGGGGUCACUGCACCACUGUGUUGGAUGUUGCAAUCUACCAACCUGUUGGGCAGAUCUUCAGCUACUCCAGAGAUGCUGAGCUGAGGGUUUGGGACAUUUCCAGCCAUCACUGUCUGAAAACCAUCUGCCUGCAGUUCCCAUGCCAGCAGCCAGGUCGAAUCCCAGAACACGGCAACUUCCCCUUCCUGUUGCUGAGCCCGCCUCUUCCUGAUCACACACGGUCUCAUUUAGUGGUGGGAUGCAAAGAUUACCUGGCACUGCUCAACCUGGCUGAAACGAGAAGAGGAGGAGGCGGAUGGAUGGCAGAUGAAGGAAAGGAAACUGGACCAAAGAUUCAAACUGGUCCUGCCCUCUCCUGUGCGCUGUACAACUCCACUCUGAGACAGGUGGCGACGGGACAUGUCAACUCAUCUGUGUCUCUGUGGGACGUGGAGUCGGGGAGGAGGCGGCUUCAGAUCUUGAACGCUCAUGGAGAAGAUGAGCUCACCUGCAUGGCACUAGACUCCUCCCACAGAAGACUGAUCACUGGGGCUCGGAACGGCACUAUUAAGGUGUGGAACUUACUAAAUGGCCUUAACUUGCACAAACUGGAACCCGUCACCAACUCUGAAGUCACCGGGUUGACCUGUCUCCAUGACAACCAGCUGCUGGCUGUGGGGUGGAGCCAGCGGGUCGCUCAAUAUGACAUCGCAGCUGCCAAGGAUUUGUAUGUAAGAGCGGACCUGUCGUGGAAGUCCAGCGGCGUUCACAAGUCAGACAUCUUGGCUGCGUGUCAGUGCUCUGCUCUGGGGGUUGUUGCCACGGCGAGCCAUGAUGGAGAGGUUGUUAUCUGGAGGCUGGAAACGCAAGGACCAGUGCUUCACCUACAGAAACCGACACAGAGAGGAGUGGCGCCCCCUGUGGACAGCCUCUUGUUCCUGCAACAUCGGGCUGUCAACAGACAGUUGAGAAACAAAGGCGUCCUGGUCUCAUCCCAGGCGGGCAUCCUCGGCUUUUGGAGCAUCACUGGACAGACGCACACGUUUGGCCAGUUCUAUGCUCCAGAGCAGCCAGGUGAGCGUGUGUUGAGCCUGAGCUCAGAUCAGCCUAAAAACUCCAUCCUGGUCUCUGGAGACACAACGGGCUGGCUUCAGAUCUGGGAUAUCAAUCACUAUGCACUGGACGUCCAGCAUGAGCCAGAUAGUGAGCGGCCUCCUCUGCUGCAGUGUUGGAAGGCUCAUGAGAGAGCAUUAGUAAGUGUGGAGGUUCUGGAGGUUGCCGACAGAUUGUUUGUCCUCACAGCCUCGGCAGAUGGCUCUGCUGGACUGUGGACAAAGGACGGAGAUCAUGUGGGUUCUUUCGGGCACGAAGCGAUGUGGAAUAUCACUGAGCCAGCUACUUACCAGAGGAAGACGCAAAAGGAACUGACAGAAGACACGGGGGAGACAACUGAAAGUGCCGUAACGGGGCUCAUCAAGGCCAAAAGUCAAGUACCCAGCCCCACCAACAGGGGUCAAACUUCAGAGGAAGAAUGCUGUUCUGAAGGCAAUCAUUUAUUGCAAACAGCUGUUUUGAGUCCACUUUAGCUUCAUCCGCCGCCCAGCAGCGAAUGACCACGAGCAACCUCAGCAACCCAAGACAGGAGCUUUAUGUUACGAGAGGAGACCUCUGUUUGAUGACAUCCACCACAGCAGUCACUGUUGAUUGGCUGUUUUCUCCACAUCAGACUCCUGCAGGUGAUUUUCGCACUGAUUCCUGGAUCCUUUCCCUUCUCUCCUCCUCCUGCUGGCUUGAUAAAUAAAAAGUGGUUUUACGGGGGGUGCCAGACUACUGUAUUUAUUGGCAAGUCUUGUCACACUGUGAAAGUGCAGGGCAAACAACGAAGACAGCCAAAGUGCUGGUUAGUAGAUGUCGUUACCUUUGGAGCCAGGCUAGCUGUUUCCCCCUAUUUCCAGUCAUUAUGCUAAGCUAAGCUAACUGUCUAGCUUCAAAAUUAAUAGACAGACACGAGAGUCGAUAUUAAACUCACAGCAAGAAAGCCAAUACCAAAUUAACUAUUCCUUUAACUAUUUAAUAUGCUGUGCAGAAAGAAUGCAGUUGUCACUCAAAGCAUUAGUAUGUGACUUUUGAAAGAGAAAGUGACACAUUAUUUUUCUUACAAAUGAUAAGCAAAACUUCUUAAACAAUUACAA